GACGAACGCUGGCGGCGUGCUUAACACAUGCAAGUCGAACGGAAAGGCCCUGCUUUUGUGGGGUGCUCGAGUGGCGAACGGGUGAGUAACACGUGAGUAGCCUGCCCUUGACUUUGGGAUAACUUCAGGAAACUGGGGCUAAUACCGGAUAGGGGCUCCUGCUGCAUGGUGGGGGUUGGAAAGUUUCGGCGGUUGGGGAUGGACUCGCGGCUUAUCAGCUUGUUGGUGGGGUAGUGGCUUACCAAGGCUUUGACGGGUAGCCGGCCUGAGAGGGUGACCGGCCACAUUGGGACUGAGAUACGGCCCAGACUCCUACGGGAGGCAGCAGUGGGGAAUAUUGCACAAUGGGCGGAAGCCUGAUGCAGCAACGCCGCGUGCGGGAUGACGGCCUUCGGGUUGUAAACCGCUUUCGCCUGUGACGAAGCGUGAGUGACGGUAAUGGGUAAAGAAGCACCGGCUAACUACGUG
rnacentral:rRNA from 1 species